GACGAACGCUGGCGGCGUGCUUAACACAUGCAAGUCGAACGGAAAGGCCCUGCUUUUGUGGGGUGCUCGAGUGGCGAACGGGUGAGUAACACGUGAGUAACCUGCCCUUGACUUUGGGAUAACUUCAGGAAACUGGGGCUAAUACCGGAUAGGAGCUCCUGCUGCAUGGUGGGGGUUGGAAAGUUUCGGCGGUUGGGGAUGGACUCGCGGCUUAUCAGCUUGUUGGUGGGGUAGUGGCUUACCAAGGCUUUGACGGGUAGCCGGCCUGAGAGGGUGACCGGCACAAUUGGGAUUGAGAUACGGCCCAAACUCCUAGGGGGGGCAGCGGUGGGGAAUAUUGACAAAUGGGCGGAAGCCUGAUGCAGCAACGCCGGGGGGGGGAAGAGGGCCUUGGGGUUGUAAACCGCUUUCGCCUGGGACGAAGCGUGAGUGACGGUAAUGGGAAAAAAAGCCCCGGCUAACUACUU
rnacentral:rRNA from 1 species